rnacentral:rRNA from 1 species
AUGAACGCUGGCGGCGUGCCUAAUACAUGCAAGUCGCGCGAACAGACGAGGAGCUUGCUCCUCUGACGUUAGCGGCGGACGGGUGAGUAACACGUGGAUAACCUACCUAUAAGACUGGGAUAACUUCGGGAAACCGGAGCUAAUACCGGAUAAUAUAUUGGACCGCAUGGUUCAAUAGUGAAAGACGGUUUUGCUGUCACUUAUAGAUGGAUCCGCGCCGCAUUAGCUAGUUGGUAAGGUAACGGCUUACCAAGGCAACGAUGCGUAGCCGACCUGAGAGGGUGAUCGGCCACACUGGAACUGAGACACGGUCCAGACUCCUACGGGAGGCAGCAGUAGGGAAUCUUCCGCAAUGGGCGAAAGCCUGACGGAGCAACGCCGCGUGAGUGAUGAAGGUCUUCGGAUCGUAAAACUCUGUUAUUAGGGAAGAACAAAUGUGUAAGUAACUAUGCACGUCUUGACGGUACCUAAUCAGAAAGCCACGGCUAACUACGUG